UGGGGAAUAUUGGACAAUGGGCGAAAGCCUGAUCCAGCAACGCCGCGUGAGUGAUGAAGGUCUUCGGAUCGUAAAGCUCUGUCGGCAGGAAAGAUGGGUGCUUCGGCUAAUAACCGGCGCACCUGACGGUACCUGCAAAGGAAGCACCGGCUAACUCUGUGCCAGCAGCCGCGGUAAGACAGAGGGUGCAAGCGUUGUUCGGAAUCACUGGGCGUAAAGCGCGCGUAGGCGGCUGGGUAAGUCGGAUGUGAAAGCCCAUGGCUUAACCAUGGAAGUGCAUCCGAAACUGCCUAGCUUGAGUCCCGGAGAGGGUGGUGGAAUUCCCAGUGUAGAGGUGAAAUUCGUAGAUAUUGGGAGGAACACCGGUGGCGAAGGCGGCCACCUGGACGGAGACUGACGCUGAGGUGCGAAAGCGUGGGGAGCAAACAGG
rnacentral:rRNA from 1 species